rnacentral:rRNA from 1 species
AACGAACGCUGGCGGCAUGCCUAACACAUGCCAGUCGAACGAGACCUUCGGGUCUAGUGGCGCACGGGUGCGUAACGCGUGGGAACCUGCCUUUAGGUUCGGAAUAACUCAGAGAAAUUUGAGCUAAUACCGGAUGAUGUCUUCGGACCAAAGAUUUAUCGCCUUUAGAUGGGCCCGCGUUGGAUUAGCUAGUUGGUGGGGUAAAGGCCUACCAUGGCGACGAUCCAUAGCUGGUCUGAGAGGAUGAUCAGCCACACUGGGACUGAGACACGGCCCAGACUCCUACGGGAGGCAGCAGUGGGGAAUAUUGGACAAUGGGCGAAAGCCUGAUCCAGCAAUGCCGCGUGAGUGAUGAAGGCCUUAGGGUUGUAAAGCUCUUUUACCCGAGAUGAUAAUGACAGUAUCGGGAGAAUAAGCUCCGGCUAACUCCGUG